rnacentral:rRNA from 1 species
GACGAACGCUGGCGGCGUGCUUAACACAUGCAAGUCGAACGGAAAGGCCCUGCUUUUGUGGGGUGCUCGAGUGGCGAACGGGUGAGUAACACGUGAGUAACCUGCCCUUGACUUUGGGAUAACUUCAGGAAACUGGGGCUAAUACCGGAUAGGAGCUCCUGCUGCAUGGUGGGGGUUGGAAAGUUUCGGCGGUUGGGGAUGGACUCGCGGCUUAUCAGCUUGUUGGUGGGGUAGUGGCUUACCAAGGCUGUGACGGGUAGCCGGCCUGAGAGGGUGACCGGCCACAUUGGGCCUGAGAUACGGCGCAGACUCCUACGGGCGGCAGCAGUGGGGAAUAUUGCACAAUGGGCGGGAGCCUGAUGCAGCAACGCCGCGUGCGGGAUGACGGCCUUCGGGUUGUAAACCGCUUUCGCCUGUGACGAAGCGUGAGUGACGGUAAUGGGUAAAGAAGCACCGGCUAACUACGUG